CCGAGCCAUCAGCUCCCAAACCCCUGUGAACAUACCCGAACGUUGCUUCGGCGGGAACGCCCCGGCGCCCACGGCGGCCCGGGACCAGGCGCCCGCCGGGGGACCCAAACCCCUGAUUUGAUCUACUGUGGCAUUUUCUGAGUCUCGUGGGAAAUGAAUCA
rnacentral:misc_RNA from 1 species